AUUAUACUGCAGUGGCAGUAUCAUAGCCAAUGAGGUUAAUCCGAGGCGCAAUUAUUGCUAAUUGAAACACAAUUAUACUGCAAAAACUCUAAUAGAAUGUAGUAUAAUACUUGUACAAUUAAAAGAAAA
rnacentral:snRNA from 1 species